UUAACUUAAAUUUGUAUGGAAUUGCAACGUUUGCUUACGUUUGCCGCUAGGGGCGCUGUUCCGACUCCAUACAAAUAUGAGUUA
rnacentral:pre_miRNA from 1 species